GGGGCAUUAGCUCAGCUGGUAGAGCGCUGCCUUUGCAAGGCAGAUGUCAGGAGUUCGAGUCUCCUAUGCUCCA
rnacentral:tRNA from 1 species